rnacentral:lncRNA from 1 species
UAGGUACAUGUGCUGUCACAGAAAUGGUAUGAGGGUGACAGACCUCGAUUUCCUCAUUUGUUGCUUUGGUUUGAAGUUCUGUACAAGAAAUGUUGCUGCAUCCCCUCACUCAGAGGGGAAGGGACCUGUGGUGGAUGCCCUGCAAAGCAGAGGAGUGCCAGCUGGGGCUGCAGGAGGAAGCUUUCCCUGCCUCUGCCUCUUUUACAGGUGCUUUUCCUAAUGCCAGCAUGGAUCAAACCCAGGUGCUGCAGCCCAUGGCAAGGAGGGAGGAGUGGGAGCAGCAGGGCAGGAAUCCCCUGCUUUCCCACCAGGUGAGUGUCCAGCAGGGCAGGAAUCCCCUGCUUUCCCACCAGGUGAGUCUGUGUGCCUGGCUUCAUGCUCCCAAGACACUCUGAUCAGGGCUUCUAGAUUCUCUGCCAAUAAUAUUGUUUUCCUCGUUCCAUAAAGGUCUUUUUUCAGCAACAAGUAUUAGAAGUUGUGAAUUUUUUGCCUGAUCUACCUGAUGUGUGCUGCUGUUUCCAGGUGAAAUGUCUGAUGUAGUUCUGAUUGUUGAGGUGCUAGCCUGUCACAUCCCUUCAGUGUCCAAGCUGAAGUAAAGAAGAAGUAAAUAUUCAAUGUCAGCUUUCAUGGAAUGAAAUAAUUGGUUGCAUAACAUUAAAGAGUUUUUAAAGGAAUAUUUACCUCAGUAUUAUGG